AGAGUUUGAUCAUGGCUCAGAUUGAACGCUGGCGGCAGGCCUAACACAUGCAAGUCGAGCGGAUGAGGGGAGCUUGCUUCCUGAUUCAGCGGCGGACGGGUGAGUAAUGCCUAGGAAUCUGCCUGGUAGUGGGGGACAACGUUCCGAAAGGAGCGCUAAUACCGCAUACGUCCUACGGGAGAAAGUGGGGGAUCUUCGGACCUCACGCUAUCAGAUGAGCCUAGGUCGGAUUAGCUAGUAGGUGGGGUAAUGGCUCACCUAGGCGACGAUCCGUAACUGGUCUGAGAGGAUGAUCAGCCACACUGGAACUGAGACACGGUCCAGACUCCUACGGGAGGCAGCAGUGGGGAAUAUUGGACAAUGGGCGAAAGCCUGAUCCAGCCAUGCCGCGUGUGUGAAGAAGGUCUUCGGAUUGUAAAGCACUUUAAGUUGGGAGGAAGGGCAGUAA
rnacentral:rRNA from 1 species